rnacentral:rRNA from 1 species
UACGAAGGGGGCUAGCGUUGCUCGGAAUCACUGGGCGUAAAGGGCGCGUAGGCGGCCAUUCAAGUCGGGGGUGAAAGCCUGUGGCUCAACCACAGAAUUGCCUUCGAUACUGUUUGGCUUGAGUUUGGUAGAGGUUGGUGGAACUGCGAGUGUAGAGGUGAAAUUCGUAGAUAUUGGGAAGAACACCGGUGGCGAAGGCGGCUCACUGGCUCAUUACUGACGCUCAUGCGCGACAGCGUGGGGGAUCAAACAGG